rnacentral:lncRNA from 1 species
CUAAUUACCCUCAAAAUCCAUUUCUAGCUUGAAACUUCACGAUCAUCAUCCAUAACCCAAAUCCCUUUUUGAAUAUCUGUAGAAUUCUCCUAGAAUUGUAUGUUAAUAUUCGUUUUCAAAGAUAAAUCCCUCAUUAUUUCCAGAAAAAUUCCCCUAAUUUCUGCCCUCAACAAUAUUUUUAAACUCUAAAAAUCUUCAAUCGAUCUUUCAAAAUCAUUUUCUUCGAUUCAUUUACUUACUAUAUAUUUGAGGCUUUUUUUCUUAUGGAUUUGCUAUCAGUUAUCACCAUACUAGCAUCUUGUUUCAGGAGUUGUAGUCGUGUUGGGAGAAGAUCUCCACCUCGCUGGAGUAUUUCACUUUGUAGUGGAUACAACAAAUCGUCUUCCUAUUGUGUUAGUUGCCAUUAUUUACUGUUACUAAUGGGUACGUAAUUGUUCAAAACUUCAAAUAAUUGAUUAGUUGUUUCCAUUUUGGAUAUGGUGGAUUCUAGUUAUUGCUUUAACGCAUGCAGCAUCUAUAGGUAAGGCCUUGACAUUUGUCUUCGGUUGUAGAAUAUUGAAGUAGUUUAUGGUCUUCUGCAUUACCCAUAUGGAUGAAUUGUCACUCUGGUAACUGCCUAAGGUUUACCAAUCUUGGAAUCAAUACCAUUUAGAUACCUAUUGGACCCCUCAGCAUGAAUAUUGAAGUUUGCUUCGUCAAUCAAAGAAAAAAUACAAGUAGAAAUAUGUGACUUG